CGUACAUACCCCAAUCAACUAAAAACAGUUAAUAACACAUAGAUAGAUGCUCUCUUUCAUUUGUACUUGAAUUAACAUUUGUUUCAUCAACGAUAUUCACGUUUUGUUCUUACGUUUUAAAAGGUAAAAUAAACGGAAAGAGAGGUAGACGGCUUAACUAAUGGAGACCUAUUGGCUGUGUUUUUCUUGUCAGAGCUACUGGUCAAGAUUAAUACAGUAUAGUUCAAAUUCUCAAGUAAUAAUUGAAUGAUGAAAGCAUAGAAGUACCCUUUAUUUAACGGUUGGUCGAUAUAACAAUUUGUUAAACUUCAUUAUAUAUAUGAUUUUAUUUAUAAACGCAAAAUCAAGAUAAGAUUUUGGCAGAUCAUGGGUGCAAGGUUUUUUAUAUGGCUAGGCUCCAACAUGAAGGAGAAAAAGUUGGCCUAGAAUGCAAGUAAGUAGUUAUGGUAGGACCUUAUAUAUGGUUUUACUAUAUGAUUCUGGCUCACAAUUAGUGCCGGUCUUUGAGUUUUAUGACUGAAAGCAAAAAAAAAAAAAAAAAAAAAAACUACUAUGUGAUUUGAACUUGGAACGUGACGUUCUAAACUACAAUAUAUAUUUUUUAUGAAAAUGAAAACUACAAUAUAUAUACUAUAAGAUCAAUUUUAGUAAAAAUAACUGAAAAUAGUUUACAAUGAUGGAAGUUGGAAGCAUAUGCUUCUACAGCUUCCUUCCAAGGUCGGGGAUCAGUAUAGACUAGACUGUUAUAUAUGGUUAGUUGAACGUAACGAUCAGGUUAAUCGUAGUAACUCAUUAUGCUUUCAAAUGUUUAAUUGAAGAGGUCAUUCUGUUAGGG
rnacentral:lncRNA from 1 species